UACUAUAUUAUGUUUUUGAAACAAUAUUUUGAAAGUGGGUGGACACGUUAAACACUUAGCGGAGAAUUUGCCUUCAACAGUUUUCUUUCGGCGGUUAAUGCUUUAAAUAACCUGCCCACCUGACUGCCUUGUUGGCCGAGUGGUUGCAACUGCGAUUGCGGGCAAGAGAUCUUGGUUUCGACUCCGAGGUCGAGCAAAGUAUUAAUGCGUUUUUUUCGGUUAUUCGGAAUUUUCUCAAUAGUGGCACGGAGCCUGUAAAUGUGCCCGGUAUAUGACAAUAGGCUCACCACUUAUUACACGGGAUUUAUAACAUAAAUGAGAGGUAUUACAAACGCGUUGUCGACCAUAUAGGAAUCUGUUUAAUUUCACUAUUAAAAGUUUUGCAAAAAAUCUAUGGUGCUAUUAAUAUCAAAUAGUGGAUUGGGCAUUGACGGUAAGCAUUCGCCGCCGCCCAUGGACACGUGAAACACCAUAGGCGUUACAAGUGCGUUGCCGACCUUUUGGGGUUAGGAAUUAAAGGGUUGUUGAGGAUUAGGGAAUCAUGGACAUACGUUAACGUGGUCGUGGUAUCACUCCGGUCGAGCCGGCCCAUUCGUGCCGAAGCAUGGCUCUCCCACACUUAAAUGAUACUUCCCCGGUCAAGCAGACCUAUUGAAAUUCCAUAACGCAGAUAGGCUCUCAUCGAGAGGUCUCAAUGUCCAGUCAACAAGUACGUAAAGUACAUUCUUCAAUCCAAGUGACAUAUGUACUCAAUGCCUGUCAAGAGCUAUUUACAGAUAAACAGUGAUUCAUGUAGGUUGACUGUCCAGGCGACACACGUACUUAGGUAUCGUCAUGAGCUAAUGUUCACAUGUAAACAGCAGCUCAUGUAGUGUAGAUGUCCAGUCAACAAGGAUGUAGCGAGGUUGACUGUCCAGGCGACACACGUACUUAGGUAUCGUCAUGAGCUAAUGUUCACAUGUAAACAGCAGCUCAUGUAGUGUAGAUGUCCAGUCAACAAGGAUGUAGCGAGGUUGACUGUCCAGGCGACACACGUACUUAGGUAUCGUCAUGAGCUAAUGUUCACAUGUAAACAGCAGCUCAUGUAGUGUAGAUGUCCAGUCAACAAGGAUGUAGCGAGGUUGACUGUCCAGGCGACACACGUACUUAGGUAUCGUCAUGAGCUAAUGUUCACAUGUAAACAGCAGCUCAUGUAGUGUAGAUGUCCAGUCAACAAGGAUGUAGCGAGGUUGACUGUCCAGGCGACACACGUACUUAGGUAUCGUCAUGAGCUAAUGUUCACAUGUAAACAGCAGCUCAUGUAGUGUAGAUGUCCAGUCAACAAGGAUGUAGCGAGGUUGACUGUCCAGGCGACACACGUACUUAGGUAUCGUCAUGAGCUAAUGUUCACAUGUAAACAGCAGCUCAUGUAGUGUAGAUGUCCAGUCAACAAGGAUGUAGCGAGGUUGACUGUCCAGGCGACACACGUACUUAGGUAUCGUCAUGAG